GGAUCGUCACUGCUGCCUUUUGUUGAUCCGCACCAUGAUCGGCUAAGUCUUCUGUCUAUCCUUAGAUUUAGAUGAAGUUUUGAUUUAUUAUUAUUAGAUUUCUAGUUGUAAUGCAUACUUGAUUGUUUGAUGUUAAAGACCUCUUCCCUUGUGGAUGAUUUUUAAUAGUUAAAUCAGUUUAGAAUAUUUGACUCUGUGAUUCACUAGUUCUAUUCAAACAAUGGUUUCUUUAUGUUGAUAAUUGGUAUACA